AUGGCGGGCUACUUGCAGCGUCGCUGGUCAUUUGAACUAUAAUUAUAACAGCUGGAAGAGUUACAACGUCCAUGCUGAGGGAAGGUACGCGGUCGCCCUUGACCAUUCACGGCCAGGCUGGGGACACUGGAAGUCAACACAUUUCAAGGCAGCACCAUCCGCAUCAUGAGACUGGCAUUCCAGCAGUUCGUAGGUCGAAAUCGAAAAGCGUACUGGUUCCUUGCACUAUUCUCUCUGUUGCCAUGAUGGCUUUCUUUUGCGGCUGGGUCGGCACACUCUAUGCGUUUCGAACGGACAUCUUUCAGGGAGGAAACCCAUCCAUCAUUCGAGUUGCCGAUUGGCGCACCGUCUCGCACUCCAGCGCCACAACUCCUGACGAUACCUUUAACGCGACGAAGAGCAGAACGAUGGGACGAGCUCUGCCGAGGAAGCAACGCUCCACCACUGCAGACAAAGAAGUCGCGUACCCUGCUUGGUAGGGGGCGCACUACAAGCAUAAAAUACGCUACACGUUAAAUGGGUUGCGACGCGUCUUCCCGUGUUAUUACAAAAUAAAUGUGAGAUACUGUUA